rnacentral:lncRNA from 1 species
AAAAAGUUGAAAUCGAAAAGAAGAAUAGAAAUUUAUUAAACGUUGUGGUCUGUUUAACACAGUUUCCUUAAGACAGAUUCGGCUGCUCUUACGAUACUUGGAGAAAUAUUGAUUGACUAUCUCCCAGGAUACAACAACACAAUGAUCAAUGCAGUAGCACCUCUGCAGCGAUUAACGAACAAACGUUACCUUUUUCUAUCACUGGUGUAUAAGCCCAAAUUGCCCGGGCCAAACAAAAACAAAGCAGGCAAUUUUAGUUUUUUUUAAUAGCAGGCCUAAACUCGUCUAAGGCCCAAAUAUCCAAUAACAGGCCCAACAGCCAAUUUUUAAACCCUAGCCCAGCAAAAAAAAAUAGAAUAGCAGAAACCCUAGCUUCUGCCUCAACGCCGCAGCAACUGCUUCCGCGCGUCAUGGCCGUCGAUCCCGCACAUCGUGCCCCUCGCCGCCACGAAUCUCGCGCCUUCCCUGCACGUUGAACCUACAGCAACAAACGCAAACAGAACGGCAAAAAUCUUGCUAACAAAAACAAAGGGGAUUUCUUUGGAUUUGAUUUCUUUUUCUUUUCUCGGCUAUUUAAAGGCCGAUUUUAAUCUGUAUUUGGGGAAAUUGCAAUGUAAAAACACACAGAAAAAUCAGAGGAGAGAAAAAACUAAUAGGAAAGAAAUAUAAUUUUUUUUCUUUGAAAUACAAAAGGUGAUUUUCUUUCAUUUUAUUUAUUUGGUUCAUCAUUCUUAGUUUCGUUUUUUAUUUUUAUUUUUAUUUUUAUUUUUAUUUUUUUCCCUUUUUUUUGUUUUCAUUUACCUUUCGCUUAAAACAACAAAGAAAAGAAGGAAGGAAAACUUACCUUUCGUCGGAGUCGCCGUGCCACCGCCAUCUCCGUCGCAAAUCGGAGCUUUGGUGAAGGCAUAGGGCUGAAUGGCGACGCAAAGAAAGGGGUUAAGAAAAACCCUAGCAGACCACUGUGUUUUUAAAAAAGAAAAGAAGC